rnacentral:rRNA from 1 species
CGAAAGCCUGACGGAGCAAUACCGCGUGAGGGAAGAAGGCUUUUGGGUUGUAAACCUCUUUUGUCAGGGAAGAAGAAUUGACGGUACCUGAAGAAAAAGCAUCGGCUAACUCCGUGCCAGCAGCCGCGGUAAUACGGAGGAUGCAAGCGUUAUCCGGAAUCAUUGGGCGUAAAGGGUCCGCAGGUGGCGAAUAAAGUCUGCUGUUAAAGACCGGGGCUUAACUCCGGAAAGGCAGUGGAAACUGAUUAGCUAGAGUACGGUAGGGGUAGAGGGAAUUCCCAGUGUAGCGGUGAAAUGCGUAGAUAUUGGGAAGAACACCGGUGGCGAAAGCGCUCUACUAGGCCGAAACUGACACUGAGGGACGAAAGCUAGGGUAGCGAAAGGGAUUAGAUACCCCUGUAGUCUUAGCGGUAAACGAUGGAUACUAGGUGUAGCUUGUAUCGACCCGAGCUGUGCCGAAGCUAACGCGAUAAGUAUCCCGCCUGGGGAGUACGCACGCAAGUGUGAAACUCAAAGGAAUUGACGGGGGCCCGCACAAGCGGUGGAGUAUGUGGUUUAAUUCGAUGCAACGCGAAGAACCUUACCAGGGCUUGACAUGUCGCGAAUCUAGCGGAAACGUUAGAGUGCCUUAGGGAAUGCGAACACAGGUGGUGCAUGGCUGUCGUCAGCUCGUGUCGUGAGAUGUUGGGUUAAGUCCCGCAACGAGCGCAACCCUCGUCCUUAGUUGCCAAUAUUAAGUUAGGCACUCUAGGGAGACUGCCGGGGACAACUCGGAGGAAGGUGGGGAUGACGUCAAGUCAGCAUGCCCCUUACGUCCUGGGCUACACACGUACUACAAUGGUUGGGACAAAGGGCAGCAAGCUCGCGAGAGUAAGCGAAUCUCAUCAAACCCAGCCACAGUUCAGAUUGCAGGCUGCAACUCGCCUGCAUGAAGUAGGAAUCGCUAGUAAUCGCAGGUCAGCAUACUGCGGUGAAUUCGUUCCCGGGCCUUGUACACACCGCCCGUCACACCAUGGAAGCUGGCUACGCCCGAAGUCGUUACCCUAACCCGGUUUUGGGAGGGGGAUGCCGAAGGUAGAGCUAGUGACUGGGGUGAAGUCGUAACAAGGUGGCCGUACCGGAAGGUGUGGCUGGAUCACCUCCUUU